rnacentral:rRNA from 1 species
CCUACGGGUGGCAGCAGUGAGGAAUAUUGGUCAAUGGACGAGAGUCUGAACCAGCCAAGUAGCGUGAAGGAUGACUGCCCUAUGGGUUGUAAACUUCUUUUAUAUGGGAAUAAAAUGUUCCACGUGUGGGAUUUUGUAUGUACCAUAUGAAUAAGGAUCGGCUAACUCCGUGCCAGCAGCCGCGGUAAUACGGAGGGUCCGAGCGUUAUCCGGAUUUAUUGGGGUUAAAGGGAGCGUCGGUGGAGUGUUAAGUCAGUUGUGAAAGUUUGCGGCUCAACCGUAAAAGUGCAGUUGAAACUGGCAGUCUUGAGUACAGUAGAGGUGGGCGGAAUUCGUGGUGUAGCGGUGAAAUGCUUAGAUAUCACGAAGAACUCCGAUUGCGAAGGCAGUUCACUGGACUGCAACUGACACUGAGGCUCGAAAGUGUGGGUAUCAAACAGGAUUAGAUACCCCAGUAGUC